GGCGGCGUGCUUAACACAUGCAAGUCGAACGAUGAAGCCCUUCGGGGUGGAUUAGUGGCGAACGGGUGAGUAACACGUGGGCAAUCUGCCCUUCACUCUGGGACAAGCCCUGGAAACGGGGUCUAAUACCGGAUACCACUCCUGCCUGCAUGGGCGGGGGUUGAAAGCUCCGGCGGUGAAGGAUGAGCCCGCGGCCUAUCAGCUUGUUGGUGGGGUAAUGGCCUACCAAGGCGACGACGGGUAGCCGGCCUGAGAGGGCGACCGGCCACACUGGGACUGAGACACGGCCCAGACUCCUACGGGAGGCAGCAGUGGGGAAUAUUGCACAAUGGGCGAAAGCCUGAUGCAGCGACGCCGCGUGAGGGAUGACGGCCUUCGGGUUGUAAACCUCUUUCAGCAGGGAAGAAGCGAAAGUGACGGUACCUGCAGAAGAAGCGCCGGCUAACUACGUGCCAGCAGCCGCGGUAAUACGUAGGGCGCAAGCGUUGUCCGGAAUUAUUGGGCGUAAAGAGCUCGUAGGCGGCUUGUCACGUCGGAUGUGAAAGCCCGAGGCUUAACCUCGGGUCUGCAUUCGAUACGGGCUAGCUAGAGUGUGGUAGGGGAGAUCGGAAUUCCUGGUGUAGCGGUGAAAUGCGCAGAUAUCAGGAGGAACACCGGUGGCGAAGGCGGAUCUCUGGGCCAUUACUGACGCUGAGGAGCGAAAGCGUGGGGAGCGAACAGGAUUAGAUACCCUGGUAGUCCACGCCGUAAACGUUGGGAACUAGGUGUUGGCGACAUUCCACGUCGUCGGUGCCGCAGCUAACGCAUUAAGUUCCCCGCCUGGGGAGUACGGCCGC
rnacentral:rRNA from 1 species